UACGUAGGGGGCGAGCGUUGUCCGGAGUUACUGGGCGUAAAGCGCACGCAGGCGGUCUGUUAAGUUUGGAGUGACAGUUGGUGGCUUAACUGCCAAAGUGCUUCGAAAACUGACAGACUUGAGGGCUUCAGAGGGACACGGAAUUCCGGGUGGAGUGGUGAAAUGCGUAGAGAUCCGGAGGAACACCAAAGGCGAAGGCAGUGUCCUGGGGAGUACCUG
rnacentral:rRNA from 1 species